AGGGUUUGAUCAUGGCUCAGGAUGAACGCUAGCGGCAGGCCUAACACAUGCAAGUCGAGGGGUAGGGUAGCAAUACCUGAGACCGGCGCACGGGUGCGUAACGCGUAUGCAAUCUACCUUAUACAGGGGAAUAGCCCAGAGAAAUUUGGAUUAAUGCCCCAUAGUAUUAUUGAAUCGCAUGGUUUAAUAAUUAAAGUUCCAACGGUAUAAGAUGGGCAUGCGUCCCAUUAGUUAGUUGGUAAGGUAACGGCUUACCAAGACUAUGAUGGGUAGGGGUCCUGAGAGGGAGAUCCCCCACACUGGUACUGAGACACGGACCAGACUCCUACGGGAGGCAGCAGUGAGGAAUAUUGGGCAAUGGACGCAAGUCUGACCCAGCCCAUGCCGCGUGCAGGAUGAAGCAUCUAUGGUGUGUAAACUGCUUUUGUACAGGAAGAAACGCUUUUACGUGUAGAAGUUUGACGGUACUGUAAGAAUAAGGAUCGGCUAACUCCGUGCCAGCAGCCGCGGUAAUACGGAGGAUCCAAGCGUUAUCCGGAAUCCUUGGGUUUAAAGGGUCC
rnacentral:rRNA from 1 species